AUGUCGGUGUUCGAGGAGGAGGAGAAGAAGAAGGUUGGGCUGCCGCCAUUCGAGGGCAGGCACACCCGGUUCGUCUACAACAGCGACGACGAGAUCGUGGAGAGGAAGGAGGUGGAGAACGCGGCGGCGGAGCACGGCGCGCUGCUGAGGGGCCUGCCGGUGCCGGAGGGGAAGCAUCUCCGGUUCCACGACGAUGAUGACGAGGAGGAGUAA
rnacentral:rRNA from 1 species